AGAAGGAUGGCAACUGAUCCUCAGGCAGUUCAUCAUGACCAUCAUAAAGCUCUGUUGUUUGUCACACUGGAGAAUAAACGAAUGAUUUGAAGGACGUGGACGAGGACUGAGAUGCUGCGAGUGGAGAGGAAGAGUGACAUGAAGAGGAAAGAAGUUCAUUACUCGGCUGAAAAGGAGGCAAAUGGCUUUCACAGUCGCCUUGGGAACGGGCCUUUCUCUCUCUCACAAACCUAUAAUAAGAAUCUCUCUGCUGUUUCUCUGUCACAUUCAGUGGUGCUUUUCAGGAGCUCCAGCAAUCUUGGCUGAAUGCGAUGGCUCCAGUGCAGGGAGGGCUCAGCUCAGCUCGGCUCGGCUUGGCUCUUCUGCGGGACGGAGGACUGACUCUCCCCUGCGCUUCUCUCUCGGCUCAGAACGGCUAGGUUUGACAAUCCCACCCGGCUCUGUCCAGCUAAACCAUCAGCAAAACCUAAAAGACGCAGAGGGAAGGAUUUGGAGCAACGGCUGUGCACCGAUGAAAGUGCCUAUCUUUUUUCGGACUGAACGAUAACAUGACAAACCAAUUAAACAGGCUGUGGACAUCAAUGGAAGACACGUGAUUUAUUGUUCAACGGUGUGGUCUAGCUGUUUACCUACAGUUGAAUUUGUUCCAAUAUAAAGAAACCUGAACAAAAUUUGACAUCAGCAACAAAAGAAUAAAACUGUGGUCAUUGUUUGAUUGCAGUUUGAUCAUCAGUUUCGAAGCCCUGCUCAACAGAAAACCCGUAAAGUCUGAGAAAAUCGAUCCAAACAAGCCUUAAUUCUGUCAUUAGGUGAGAGGGAGCCGUGGGCUGAUUGGCUGCCCGUCUGCUCCAUAUUCAGAGGUGCUGGAUGAGGCAGAGGGCCUGCUGGGUAAAAUGCUGCUGUAAUCAGGAGCCGGCUGUGCUGCCUGAUCAGGUGUGUUUGCAUCCACACGAGAAUGAGGACACCCACGGAAGAGCACAGGAGGAACAGGGAGAGCCGUUGAGGAGAACCAUCUGACUUCGAUUCCAGCCGGUGACUGAAUGAAUGAGUCAGAGAAAUGUGUGACCUGCAGUGAUUUGAACAGGUGUUGACGAUGCCCCUUCUCUUGCUGCAUCUCUCCUUUAAAUCCAUUAAGAUCAUCAAAACAUGUCAGGGGGAUCAUCAGUCUGUCUGCGGGACGAGCUGCAUCCUGCCCAGCAAACCAGCUCACACUCACACACUCUCUAAACAGGCUUGGAGCGACCGAAGCUGCUGUCCGGUUUGAAGAUGCGCUCGCUCAUUAGGGCACAACAGGAAGCAGUUGGUCAGUAGUAGUAGAGCACAUGCAGGUGACCAGCGACAGGUGGACAGCAGCACACAGUCACAUAUGAGGGGAAGGCAGGCAGACAGACAGACAGACGUACCAGGCGGGCAGGCAGACAGCGGGCAGACAGCAGGGGUAGGUGCCUGAGAGUCCGCACUGUGGCAGAGUAACAGAUGUGUGGUGAAUCUUUAACUUCGCUCACUCCCCACUGUCACUGCAUCUGUGCGCAGCCCCUCUGCCUCAGCCAAACCCCCUCCUGUGUGAAAGAACGCAACAAUAAAAAGCUAUCAGUGCACUUAUUGAUUAGCCCGCAGUGUCAGGGAUGCUGAUAUUUAAUGAUCUGCAGGUCACGCCGUCUUUCUGCAGGUUACGGUGGUGCUCUUUAUGUUAAACGUUUAAUUAAAAAUCAAUGAUGAAUGCUGCGUAUCAAGCCAAUCUGUUAUGACAUUCCCCAAUAUUUGCUAUUAUUGAGAAAUCUAAA